GACGAACCGUGCGAACGUUAUUCGGAAUCACUGGGCUUAAAGCGCGUGUAGGCGGGAGGCACGUCCGUUGCUGAAAUCCCCCGGCUCAACCGGGGAACGGGCGCGGAUACGACCUUCCUGGAGGGGCGUAGGGGGACCUGGAACUUCCGGUGGAGCGGUGAAAUGCGUUGAGAUCGGAAGGAACGCCCGUGGCGAAAGCGAGGUCCUGGACGCCUACUGACGCGUGAGACGCGAAAGCCAGGGGAGACGAACGG
rnacentral:rRNA from 1 species